AGUGAACGCUGGCGGUAGGCCUAACACAUGCAAGUCGAACGGCAGCACAGUAAGAGCUUGCUCUUACAGGUGGCGAGUGGCGGACGGGUGAGGAAUACAUCGGAAUCUACUUUUUCGUGGGGGAUAACGUAGGGAAACUUACGCUAAUACCGCAUACGACCUACGGGUGAAAGCAGGGGAUCUUCGGACCUUGCGCGAUUGAAUGAGCCGAUGUCGGAUUAGCUAGUUGGCGGGGUAAAGGCCCACCAAGGCGACGAUCCGUAGCUGGCCUGAGAGGAUGAUCAGCCACACUGGAACUGAGACACGGUCCAGACUCCUACGGGAGGCAGCAGUGGGGAAUAUUGGACAAUGGGCGCAAGCCUGAUCCAGCCAUACCGCGUGGGUGAAGAAGGCCUUCGGGUUGUAAAGCCCUUUUGUUGGGAAAGAAAAGCAGCAGGUUAAUACCCCGCUGUUCUGACGGUACCCAAAGAAUAAGCACCGGCUAACUUCGUG
rnacentral:rRNA from 1 species